GGCCGCAAGGUUAAAACUCAAAUGAAUUGACGGGGGCCCGCACAAGCGGUGGAGCAUGUGGUUUAAUUCGAUGCAACGCGAAGAACCUUACCUGGUCUUGACAUCCACGGAAGUUUUCAGAGAUGAGAAUGUGCCUUCGGGAACCGUGAGACAGGUGCUGCAUGGCUGUCGUCAGCUCGUGUUGUGAAAUGUUGGGUUAAGUCCCGCAACGAGCGCAACCCUUAUCCUUUGUUGCCAGCGGUCCGGCCGGGAA
rnacentral:rRNA from 1 species